GGUUGUAGCUCAGUGGUAGAGUGCUUAUCUGGCAUGCAUGAGGCACUGGGUUCGAUCCUCAGAACCA
rnacentral:tRNA from 1 species